GAUGAACGCUGGCGGCGUGCCUAAUACAUGCAAGUCGAGCGAACAGACGAGGAGCUUGCUCCUCUGACGUUAGCGGCGGACGGGUGAGUAACACGUGGAUAACCUACCUAUAAGACUGGGAUAACUUCGGGAAACCGGAGCUAAUACCGGAUAAUAUAUUGAACCGCAUGGUUCAAUAGUGAAAGACGGUUUUGCUGUCACUUAUAGAUGGAUCCGCGCCGCAUUAGCUAGUUGGUAAGGUAACGGCUUACCAAGGCAACGAUGCGUAGCCGACCUGAGAGGGUGAUCGGCCACACUGGAACUGAGACACGGUCCAGACUCCUACGGGAGGCAGCAGUGGGGAAUCUUCCGCAAAGGGCGAAAGCCUGACGGAGCAACGCCGCGUGGGUGAUGAAGGUCUUCGGAUCGUAAAACUCUUUUAUUAGGGAAGAACAAAUGUGUAAGUAACUAUGCACGUCUUGACGGUACCUAAUCAGAAAGCCACGGCUAACUACGUG
rnacentral:rRNA from 1 species